AUAGUUUUAGAUCUUGAAACACUGCCAGUUGAUAGUGUACCGUUGCCGUAUCAAAAUGGCACUUUUUAACAAAGGGCUGAUCCUGAUGGUCACCCUGUCUCUUAUGGUGGUGUUCGGAUCAGCUGAAGGAUCGUCAUUGAAGGGUCGCUCAGGAGGUUACCCGGAGUACGAUAAUAAAUGGGAAAUCCGGUAAUUUCUUCGCACGAUUUCUUUUCGAAAGCGUCCGAGAAGAGAAGACAAGGGGACGAAACUGUCUGUAUCUUGCAAUAAAGAGAUAUCGAAUUUCCAA
rnacentral:lncRNA from 1 species